rnacentral:rRNA from 1 species
CGUGAGUAACCUGCCCUUGACUUCGGGAUAACUCCGGGAAACCGGGGCUAAUACCGGAUAUGAGCCGUCCUCGCAUGGGGGUGGUUGGAAAGUUUUUCGGCAGGGAUGGGCUCGCGGCCUAUCAGCUUGUUGGUGGGGUGAUGGCCUACCAAGGCGACGACGGGUAGCCGGCCUGAGAGGGCGACCGGCCACACUGGGACUGAGACACGGCCCAGACUCCUACGGGAGGCAGCAGUGGGGAAUAUUGCACAAUGGGCGAAAGCCUGAUGCAGCGACGCCGCGUGAGGGAUGAAGGCCUUCGGGUUGUAAACCUCUUUCAGCAGGGAAGAAGCGCAAGUGACGGUACCUGCAGAAGA